GAGCGGGCCCACUGGAUCGAAAUGCGCAGGUCCGGGUCGGACCCGCAGCCCCGCGUGGUCCUAGUGCGCCUCCUGCAUUAAGAUGUUGGACAGAGGAAAGAAGUUGCAGUCUGGGAUGAAGUUCAAUCUUCAUUCAAAGAGAGG